CUUGGAUGAGCUUCUUCACAAACAACUCAUCGCUGACAUGCGCGCUUCUUCCCUGCAACCACGAUUAGCAACCAUCACCAUUAACAGAAAUUAUAUGGAACCCGCGAACUUAGAUAAUAACAGUACACGAACCCCUUAACCAAAAACAAGCUUCAAAUAACCUUAACCUAACAAAGUUUGUAAGUCACUAGCAAAUCUCUUUCUUCAUGAAACUUCAACCCAGGAACUUGGAGCGUCAAGUCGACCUCGUCCAGUUCAAUGGAAGAAGGCUACAAUGUCGAAGAGAAGAGGUUCAAUGUUGAAUGUCAAAGAAAGGACCAAGCAGAAA
rnacentral:lncRNA from 1 species